CUCUUCUCAAACUUUUCUCCCACCCUCCCUCGAGCAAACUUUGUCCCCCUUCUCGAGCCCUAGCCUCUUUCUCGACCCCUCUCACUACAUCAAUCCAUCAUUCUCAAUCACUGCAACCACUAUUCUCGAGGCCUAGCUUGUCGCACUCGUUCUUGUGUUGUCAACCUCGCUGAGCCUUCUUCUCCCUUAUCGACCCUUCUUGUUUGUGCUACUAUUCUUCUUCGUUCUGUGUUUCUAUUCAGUCGAAGGACCAUUCUCCUCCGUCAUUGGAACCGUAGCUGUCGUUUUCCCUCAAUCGAACCAGAGUCGUGUCCCUAUUGGAACCCUCGUUGUGUGGUAGUGAAACCCUCAUAGUGGCAGUGUGGUUGUUGUUGCAGAGUUCUUGAAUUUUCCUAAAGUGGUUGAGCAAUCUGGGAUACUUCAUUGGGAAGGCUUAAGUGUUGUAGAGUCAAGCAAAAGAUCAAUCGAAGCAAGUUGCACUUGGUACCUGUAAUCCAGUAUACAACAAGGUUCUUUUGACAAUCAACCAAAGGUCAUAGUAAGACCUGAACCAAUAAAUAAUUGUACUUAUGCAAAUGUAGGCUUAUACAACUGUACCUAAAAUAUUAGGAGGGUUAUUUAGUUAUUUAAAUAUUGAUUUUUUGUAUUAAAAUUUUUUAGCAAAACAAUUAAACACAUCAACCAUUGUGUAGCAUAAUUUGUUUUUUCUUUAACUA